UACAGAGGGGGCAAGCGUUGUCCGGAUUUACUGGGCGUACAGCGCGCGCAGGCGGUUGCGUAUGUGAGCGGUGACAUCCGCGGGCUCAACCCGCGGCGGCCCGCUUACACAGCGCGACUGGAGGCAGGGAGAGGGAUGUGGAAUACCCGGUGGAGCGGUGAAAUGCGUAGAGAUCGGGUGGAACACCAGCGGCGAAGGCGGCAUCCUGGCCCUGUACUGACGUUGAGGCGCGAUAGCGUGGGGAGCAAACGGG
rnacentral:rRNA from 1 species